UUCCCUGGCCUGAGAAGCCUACAAGAUGCAUUUACACGAGACAAAAGAAGACAAGACCCAUUGCUGGGCAGGAAACUUCAGGAAAGGGAAGUGGUGGAAAGUUACCCAGCGGCACCGAGAACCCAAGUCAGACUUCUUUUAAAAAGGGGAGGUGGAGGAGGAGAGAAAGAGGUUGCUUCGCUCCAGGGGAGGCCACGAAGAACAGCAGCAGGACUCAAACCACAAAGCCAAGCAUGGGAGAAAGUGACGAAGAGAACAGCAAGGAGAGAGGAUUGGAAAGCAUGUGGAGAAAGAAAGGAGGAAAUGAGAGCAGAGUCUCAAACGUGAGGAUGAGGAGCUUGAGGAUAAAGUGCACUGAGAGGCUGGAAGCCAAUGAAAGGGUGCUGUGGCUGGAGCAGCAGGAGCUGGCUUAGCAGCUGCCCUUUGAAUAGCCUGGAGGAAGGAGAGAAAGUAAUCAGUAUGCAUCACAUCCUUGGAUUGCCAGGUUCAAUCCAGUUGGCUCAGACUUGACCAUUUGAUUUAACACACACAUGAACUAUUUCUCUUUUGGGUGGCUGGAGCCAGGAUUUGAAGAAAUACAUCAAAUAUCAUGAAAAAAGUUGAGCAGAGAGCUGAGCCUCCAGUCCAAAGCCAGCAGCAAAGUUGAGGAUGGAAGCUAGAGAUUGGACCAAGCAGAGGAGACUGGAACCAGAUUACAAAGCACUUUACAAAGGGGGAGCAGUUUCAUUAAGCCCAUUUUACAGAUGGGAAAACAGAGCCACACAACAGUGAAGUAGCUUGCCUAAAGUCAUCCUGCUUGCUAGUGGUAGAGGAUAUGUCUACACUAGAACUGUAAAUCAACCUAUAUUCCCAGCCACUCCUGCUACGAAAUUGACAAGACAGCCAGCAGCCGAUGUUAGAGACACAGUGUCUAUACAGACUCUGCAUCGCGCUAACCACAGAGACAGAAGCCCUACGCCUCUCGUGGAGGUGGAGUUAUGAUGUUGCUGUAGCAGGGCACUUACAUCGACGGGAGGAAGGCUGGAGUGUAGACACUUUAG